AAACCAGCACCUCAAGUGGUCAGGAGGAUUAUGGGGCCUAAAGCAUCCGUAGCCUGUUCUAUAAGUUUCCGGUUAAAUCCACUAGCUCAACUAGUGGGCUGCCGAAAAUACUGUAGAACUAGGGAGUGGGAGAGGUAGACGGUAUUCGGUAGGAAGGGGUAAAAUCCUUUGAUCUAUUGAGGACCACCUGUGGCGAAGGCGGUCUACCAGAACACGUUCGACGGUGAGGGAUGAAAGCUGGGGGAGCAAACCGGAUUAGAAACCCGAGUAGUCC
rnacentral:rRNA from 1 species